rnacentral:rRNA from 1 species
CUACGGGCGGCUGCAGUGGGGAAUUUUGCGCAAUGGGGGAAACCCUGACGCAGCAAUACCGCGUGAGUGAAGAAGGCCUUUGGGUCGUAAAGCUCUUUUCUUGGGGAAGAUAGUGACGGUACCCAAGGAAUAAGCACCGGCUAACUCCGUGCCAGCAGCCGCGGUAAUACGGAGGGUGCAAGCGUUGUUCGGAUUUACUGGGCGUAAAGGGCACGUAGGCGGCACAGCAAGUUAAGGGUGAAAUCCCGGGGCUCAACUCCGGAACUGCUCUUAAAACUGCUGGGCUAGAGAGAGUCAGAGGCGGGUGGAAGUCCAGGUGUAGAGGUGAAAUUCGUAGAUAUCUGGAGGAACACCGGUGGCGAAGGCGGCCCGCUGGGGCUAUUCUGACGCUAAGGUGCGAAAGCGUGGGGAGCAAACGGGAUUAGAUACCCCGGUAGUC